UCUAUAGAAACACAUAAUCUAAGACUACUACGAAACGUGUGGGUUUUUUUUUUUUUUUUUUUAAUGUGGUGUUAUUUGACAAAAACGUCUAAUCGCUGAUAUUGUGAAGCUUUCACUUCUCCGACGCUAGAAAAAUGGCUCCUGGGAAGUACAAGCCUCUGAGUGCAUCAUGGAGGACUAUAUAACUAUGGGGGAGACGCAGCAAAUCACUGAAAUGUCAACUCGAACUGGAGGACACAGUGUAAUGUGAUACAAUAACAAAACAGCUUCAUUUGUAUUCUCAUACACUUGUAAUAUAAUAAAAGUUCUACAUAUACCUCUACAUCCUUUUUUCUUUGAAACCAUUUUUUGAUAGGAAACUAGUUGAGGUGCUGAUGACGUGAAAUCAAAAUUUUAAAUGGCAAUGCCAAGAUGUA